AGGUGGCAAGCGUUAUCCGGAAUUAUUGGGCGUAAAGCGCGCGCAGGUGGUUUCUUAAGUCUGAUGUGAAAGCCCACGGCUCAACCGUGGAGGGUCAUUGGAAACUGGGAGACUUGAGUGCAGAAGAGGAAAGUGGAAUUCCAUGUGUAGCGGUGAAAUGCGUAGAGAUAUGGAGGAACACCAGUGGCGAAGGCGACUUUCUGGUCUGUAACUGACACUGAGGCGCGAAAGCGUGGGGAGCAAACAGG
rnacentral:rRNA from 1 species